rnacentral:rRNA from 1 species
UACGGAGGGUGCGAGCGUUGUCCGGAAUCACUGGCGUAAAGGGCGCGUAGGCGGCUCAUGAAGGCUGUGGUGAAAGUCCGGGGCUCAACCUCGGAUCGGCCGUGGCGACUCGUGGGCUGGAGCACUGUAGAGGCGGGUGGAAUUCCGGGUGUAGCGGUGGAAUGCGUAGAGAUCCGGAAGAACACCAGUGGCGAAGGCGGCCUGCUGGGC